CGGCCGGGGCACAGCUCAGCCGGGAAGGGGUCCUGUCCCGAGCUGCUCUCCCGGGGUCCGCCUCGCGCGUGCGCGGACUCAGAUCGAGGCCGGGAUGCAGAGUCAGGCGCAUCGCCAAACCGGCCGUCUCCCCAUCGCGACGCACACCUUUGCGACGGGUCUGCGUGGCCGGUGUUUGUCUGGAAUGGGACUCUCAGGCCGCUUGUCAGGUCUAGAUGGAAAGGCACUGGGACCAAGGCCUGAUGUGUAUUCAGCCAACUGAGCUACAUUCCCGGCACAAAUCCAGAUGUGGAACUCUCAGCUGUUUUUUCACCAAGAUGUCUGCUUGCAUGCCUCCAUGCUCCCUGCCAUGAGGAUAAUGACUAAGCCUCUGAACUGCAAGCAA